GGACAACAAAAGAAAUGAAAUUCAAGUGAUCCUGUUCUAUCCAGUUGAAUCCUAACUCAUGGUUUGCUGGUAGAGGAUUUAACACACUUGUCCAUAGAUGUAAUGCUGUUGUGGGUUUAGAAAGUUCUGGACAGCCAGCUUAGGAGUGUGGGAUCCAGGGUGUCUCCCUGAAUCCUUUGGGGAUGCAAAAACCCCCCUGGCAGACCCCUCUGAGACCCCCAAAUGGUGCCCAAGAGCUGCAGGGGCUGGAUUUAGCUCCUUGGGAGAGUUUGCCAACACUGAGGGAAGAAUCACAAAACAUGAGAACAAGCAGAGUGUAAAUUAGAAUAUUAGAAUGUAGAAUAAGUAGGUUUUUGGAUUGUUUAUAUUGAGGGCCAUGUGGUCAAGAUGGAGGAACCUGGGUGUGGUGGGCUCCUUCUUCCUUCUUCUUCAUGUUAUCCAUGUUGGGGAUGAAUCCUGGGAACCACAGAUUGGAUGGGGAAAGAACUGGACAUUGCAAAGAGAUUGCAAGGCAUUGGGAAGAGUUUGUAAACAUUGUAUAGGUAGUUUUAGGUAUAAAAGAUUUGGCACAGCCCCCCCCGGGGCAGUUCUGUGAUGGUCGCCUUGCAGAGUGUUGGGCUGACUGAAACAUUUUGGGAGAUAAGAUAAAUAAACAGCUCUGCAACAACACAAGGUCAUCUGGAGAAGCUUUCUUGCUGGUAACUCUGAGAGAAGCCAGACUCCUGACCCCCUGCAUGUCCUCUCUGAGGAGGUCUCACGCCUAGAGAGACCCCUGGGGUGGGACAAGAAGAGCAUUACUGUAGCCAGCCCACAGCUGGAGGUUUGUUUUAGAAAGAAACUUUUUGGACUCUGCAAAAGUGAAAGCUCAGGUUGUGCAAAAACCAUCUGGCUGUGGCAUUGCACGCUCCAGACACUCUUCUGUCCAUUGCUGAGCAAAAGGUUUUACCUCCUGUACUAAACCAGGAGAAGCACAAUGGCAGAUUUCCACGUUCACUAAACAUUAAAUAAGGGCUUCAAAAGAGAAAUCUGGGCAGCAGUAAGUGCAAGAACACUUGGCUUCAGUCUAACAGGCCAGCCUCAGAACAGCUCUUCACCUUUAGUGCUGCACAGGUACCUAGAGGUCAGACAUCCAAGUGUUAUCACCUUUAUCUGUGGUGUGAAGAUUGCCAGCCCUUAAGGCCAGCAGAUCCUGAACAGGGAAUGGCCUCCUGCAUCAGGCAGGGCUCAGUGGUGCCUUUACCUGCAGAAGGUUGGCUGAAACCAUACAGGUCUCUGCAAAUACACAUGGAGGAGUGGAAGAAAGCUCUCCAUGUGUUUCCUCAGGUACUUCCCAGUGGCACUGCUCAGACACCAGAGCUCCAACUGCAGCAGGGGAUUUUUCAGAUUUCUGAGAAGCCAAGCCCAUCUCAGGAAGUUGCAGCAUGGUUAAAGUGAUCUCCUUCAGCUGAGCUGCAGUCAUGUACAUGUGCAGCUCCUCCAGAGCCUGCAGCUGGUGAGAGUUCCUGGGAUAGACCUGGCUUUGGUCCUUCCCCCCAGUCUGCAGCUCUUCCAGGACACCUUUGGUAAUGGCUUUGAAA